rnacentral:ncRNA from 1 species
UACGGUGGAAAAAUUUGGCUGCUUGCAACCACUUGAAAAAAUGCUAAAAU